rnacentral:rRNA from 1 species
CAGUAGCCGCGGUAAUACGAAGGGUGCAAGCGUUACUCGGAAUUACUGGGCGUAAAGCGUGCGUAGGUGGUGGUUUAAGUCCGUUGUGAAAGCCCUGGGCUCAACCUGGGAAUUGCAGAGGAUACUGGAUCACUAGAGUGUGGUAGAGGAUAGUGGAAUUUCCGGUGUAGCAGUGAAAUGCGUAGAGAUCGGAAGGAACAUCUGUGGCGAAGGCGACUAUCUGGGCCAACACUGACACUGAGGCACGAAAGCGUGGGGAGCAAACAGGAUUAGAUACCCCCGUAGUCCCUGUCUCUUAUAC